UCCGGUGUUCGGCGAGUCGGGUAGUUUGAGAUUGCUGCCUCAAUGGGUGGUAGAUUUCAUCCAAAGCUAAAUACGGGUGGGAGACCGAUAGCGAACAAGUACCGUGAGGGAAAGGUGAAAAGAACUUUGGAAAGAGAGUUAAAAGCGCUUGAAAUCGUCGAAAGGGAAGCGAACGGGAUCGGCCACGGUCGG
rnacentral:rRNA from 1 species